AGUAAUUGGGGGGUGCUAUAAUGCAGUCGAGCGAACAGAUAAGGAGCUUGCUCCUUUGACGUUAGCGGCGGACGGGUGAGUAACACGUGGGUAACCUACCUAUAAGACUGGGAUAACUUCGGGAAACCGGAGCUAAUACCGGAUAACAUUUGGAACCGCAUGGUUCUAAAGUGAAAGAUGGUUUUGCUAUCACUUAUAGAUGGACCCGCGCCGUAUUAGCUAGUUGGUAAGGUAACGGCUUACCAAGGCGACGAUACGUAGCCGACCUGAGAGGGUGAUCGGCCACACUGGAACUGAGACACGGUCCAGACUCCUACGGGAGGCAGCAGUAGGGAAUCUUCCGCAAUGGGCGAAAGCCUGACGGAGCAACGCCGCGUGAGUGAUGAAGGGUUUCGGCUCGUAAAACUCUGUUAUUAGGGAAGAACAAAUGUGUAAGUAACUGUGCACGUCUUGACGGUACCUAAGCAGAAAGCCACGGCUGACUACAUGGAGUGCGAGAGCGGGAAUAAGUAGGUGGCAAGGGUUAUACGGGAUUAAAGGGCGGGAGGGUCGGGGC
rnacentral:rRNA from 1 species